CCUGACUCUAAACCUUGAAAAAAGGCAAUCACUGGGUGACUUUACCUAAACCAAAUAGGAGACUUUUUGUAUUGCAAUGUGGCACAACCAAUUUUCUGCAUCUUAAAAUCAGAAAUACUACAUAAUCAAUAUUUAAUCUAAUACACUCAACGGCUUCAGUAGAAUAUUACAGCCUUUCGAAUCAGCUAUCAAAUACAGUAUCAUGCAUUGAAUUCGUUCAAAACACCUAAACUAACAUCUAGAAGAGGUAAACAACCCCAAGUUAAUUAAUGAAACUCACAUGUCUAACUUCUGAAUAUAAUCUCACAUUAAAACUAAUAGUACCAAAAGCAUGGCUAAAUGUAUCUAACAACAUUCUUAUUAGCGCAUAACUCAAGACAUACUAGACCAAAUUACUCAUCCGCUUUACAAAUGCUUUAAUAAUAAGUUAAUGAACGCACAACCACACAACAAGACUACAUGAGCAAAAAACCAAAUAAUUUAACAUAUACUACCAUAAAAUAUGGUAUCAUCAACAUGUUCAUUCCCAUUUCAAAAUGUUAUUUGAAGUCGAAUGUGUACCUGGUUACAAUAAAGAUAAACAAGAGUUUUGAGAAUCAACAUAAAAUAAAACCAAGCCAGCAAGUAUAGCAGCAGAGAUCAGCAGCAAAACUAAAUCAAAUAGCUUCCAGAAAUCCCAGCAAUUUCAGCUCUUUAAAACAUUUUUCACCCAAAUAAAGCAAAAGUUCUUUGAAGCCUUUAACUUCCUGUUGAAACUCAAGAUCAGUGACAAAUUCAGAACCAAUUCCCAACCCAAAAGUUGCAAAAAUCUCAAUGUGUUUUCAGAAUAGCUUCUCUCAGCCGUUUUUCUUUUCAGUAUUUUUUAAUUCCCUAAAACGUUUGCCUUGUGUAUGAAGAAGUAAUCCUUUUAUAAGGGGCUUUUAGGGCAGCAGAGAAUAACUAGUUUAUUGUCCU
rnacentral:lncRNA from 1 species